ACUUAUCGGUAUGAUCACGUCGUCUGCUAGUUGUUGUCCAUGGCUGAUAGAAGUGGUCGCGCGAUUAAUUUUUGUUUAACUGAUUCCAGGUUACAACAGUAGUUGGAGCUGCUACCAACUCACCUCACCUCAGUUUCAGUUGGUUGUAACAACAAAUGUUACUGCCUGGCUGGUUGUUUGGUUGCCGGUGCUAGCUCGCUCGCUUGCUUUGGUCAUUGUGGUCGGCCACUGUAACAGCAGUGACGUUGUUGUUGUUAUUGUGGCUAUUUCACUGCUGAUAUGAGUGCUGCCAAUUUUAUUAUAAUGCGCCCUGAGUCAGAGUCGGCAUCGUCAUCCAACAUCUUAUCGGCGUGUGGUGGAUAUACCUAUUUUCAAACGAACUGCCUAUACAACAGAGCUACAUACAGAUGUACACUUAUCCAUCUAUCAGAGAGUAUAAGUAUUUGCCUCAUAUAAAUAUGUUGAAAACCUCAAAGUUUGCCAAGGAUGAUGAGCGAACGUGGGGCAUACAGACGGAUAGUCAUACAGUUGGAUGGAUGGAUGGUUGGUUGGUUGGACUGUAUGCCCAUCAAAUGUGUCUAACCGCAAAUGCGAUUUAUCACAUUUGGCUGGCUAGUUGCCGUUUCUUCCGUCUCUUCUUCCACUUCACUUCCCUCAGUGUUCUACCAUGAAAAAUGUAUGCAAUAAAUAAAAGCCA